AGCAACUUGGUCCAGUAGGUGGUGCAUGGGGCCCAUAAGCGCGAAGUCCCAGGUUCGAAAACCUGGGGUUGCUA